rnacentral:rRNA from 1 species
GUAGGUGGCAAGCGUUGUCCGGAAUUAUUGGGCGUAAAGCGCGCGCAGGCGGUUCUUUAAGUCUGAUGUGAAAGCCCACGGCUCAACCGUGGAGGGUCAUUGGAAACUGGAGAACUUGAGUACAGAAGAGGAAAGCGGAAUUCCACGUGUAGCGGUGAAAUGCGUAGAGAUGUGGAGGAACACCAGUGGCGAAGGCGGCUUUCUGGUCUGUAACUGACGCUGAGGCGCGAAAGCGUGGGGAGCAAACAGGGAUUAGAUACCCUGGUAGUCCACGCCAUAAACGAUGAGUGCUAAGUGUUAGGGGGUUUCCGCCCCCCUUAGUGCUGCAGCUAACGCAUUAAGCACUCCGCCUGGGAGUACGGCCGCAAGGCUG